GCAAUUCUUUGCUUCUGUGGCUGUACUAUCGUCUCUAUUCAGCCUUCUGCUGUUUGAUAAGGCUAUAAUAAAUUAAACCUUCUAAAUUUUUUGAAACCCAAAGGGCCCAUGGCUGAACCCUGCUGCCACUCUCAAUGUGUGCCAAAGCUAAGGACCACUGAGAAGCUCCUGAGGUGGCUGCUUGAAGAUUUGCUAAUUGUCUGAAGAACCUAUAUCAGCACCUGAUGUGAUAUUCAAGGCUGCUGAGACCCCACUUUCUCAGUGAUUUUGCAGAGCUGAGAGAGGGUUUGUUCCACUCAUUAGAGCAACCACAGAAAUUCUGCUUCAUAAUAAAAUUAUUUUCUCCUAUUCACCAGAGUGUGAAGAUUUGGCCAGGCCAAAUGAUCCCCAGCAGUAUGGCUUUUUCAGUCCCACAGGAAUGAUCCUUGGUCUCACAGGACUUAAGAGAAAGAUUUUCAUUGAUUGCUGCAGUGAAGGUUCCUGCUAACACCAUGAGUGCCAGUUGGUUUUAAUCCCGGCCAUAAAUGGUAAUUUUCUCUAACAAUGGGAAAGAAAACUGCAUUUCAAACACGGUUUCUCUUCUUCCCACCGUGACAUAUUUAGGCAAACUAUGGUGGUGUGUUUUCUUUUUUCAUUAUAAAGAUCAAUACCCCACAAUAACAAGAUUAGAUCCAUUUUGCCUAUAAAACAUGGUAAAGGAAAAUUUGAAUUAAACCAGAAUCAAUAAAGCAUGAGCUUUGGAGAACUCAAAGCUUCUUUCAGUUCCUUGAGCUAUGCACUGGCAGCCUCUGCUGACAGAGGCUUGAAUGCUUCACUAACACCUGAUAGCGAAGAAUUUCUUCCAAAUUAUUGGAUCAAGUGGGCUUUAGAGAAACAGAAAUCAGUAAAGCUCUGGUGAGCAGCAGUGCCUGAAACAGCUUGCCCACCACUGAUUGCCUGUGGUGCAGAAGCACUCACUGCUGUUGGCAAUAUGACAGCAAAUACUAUCAUGGAAAUCAAACAAAAAUAUGAUCUGGUCUAAAUAGAUGCACUAUUCUGAAGAGAAAAGGCUUUCAAAAUGUUGGUCUUUCUGCAGGCUCUCUAGCUGGUCUGUGACCUUGGGACUCUUUGCAUUCAGCAACUGCAAUCUGCUGUCUGGAGCUUGUCUGAAUUUUGAAGCUCCCUCCUCUUUGUUGUGGGAUGACAGCUGAAAGGGGCUGUGCUGUGUUUUCAAAAUUCACAGAUAUUCCACUGUGAGUAGGAAAUG